rnacentral:lncRNA from 1 species
GCAAAUAAUUAAAAGGCAAAACUGCAGUUGUCAGAUUAAAAAAAAAAUAAUUUCCUAAAUCUCCUUUGCAGUAAAAGUUCAAAAUUACAAACCUUGAAGACAGAUUGCCAGAAGGAGGGAAAGUAGAGAGAAGAGGAAGAGACAAGCGAUUGCACAUAAAUGUUUAUCAACAUGGGGUCAUCAAACAUGGACAGCUAUUGUACUGGGAGACAAAAAGAGAUGAGGUGCAAAAACUAACUGUUGAAAGGAAAUUGCACAUAAAUGUUUAUCAACAUGGAGUGAUCAAACGUGGACAGCUAUUGUACUGGGAGACAAAAAAAAGAUGAGGUGCAAAAACUAACUGUUGAAAGGAAUGGCAGGAUGAAGAAGAACUUUACGUUCCAGAAAAUGGAAAGGUAGAGUGAGGUUGAGUGCUUUCAAAUAUCUGUUUUCUAAAGAGUUCAGUACUUCUGAAUUAAGAUGCAAAAUGAGCUAAAAGUUGCAUCAGAACAUUCUUUUGCUGCUCAAAUGCUGAAAGAAAGAAGACUAAAUGGACACAACGUCUCUUGAAAAUUUAAAAUAAAGUAAACCGUG